AGCGAACGCUGGCGGCAGGCCUAACACAUGCAAGUCGAACGAAGUCUUCGGACUUAGUGGCGGACGGGUGAGUAACACGUGGGAACGUACCUUUUGGUUCGGAACAACUCAGGGAAACUUGAGCUAAUACCGGAUGAGCCCUUAGGGGGAAAGAUUUAUCGCCGAAAGAGCGGCCCGCGUUAGAUUAGCUAGUUGGUGAGGUAAAGGCUCACCAAGGCGACGAUCUACAGCUGGUCUGAGAGGAUGAUCAGCCACACUGGGACUGAGACACGGCCCAGACUCCUGCGGGAGGCAGCAGUGGGGAAUCUUGCGCAAUGGGCGAAAGCCUGACGCAGCCAUGCAGCGUGAAUGAUGAAGGUCUUAGGAUUGUAAAAUUCUUUUACCAGGGACGAUAAUGACGGUACCUGGAGAAAAAGCCCCGGCUAACUUCGUGCCAGCAGCCGCAGUAAAAC
rnacentral:rRNA from 1 species